GAUGAACGCUGGCGGCGUGCCUAAUACAUGCAAGUCGAGCGAACGGACGAGAAGCUUGCUUCUCUGAUGUUAGCGGCGGACGGGUGAGUAACACGUGGAUAACCUACCUAUAAGACUGGGAUAACUUCGGGAAACCGGAGCUAAUACCGGAUGAUAUUUUGAACCGCAUGGUUCAAAAGUGAAAGACGGUCUUGCUGUCACUUAUAGAUGGAUCCACGCUGCAUUAGCUAGUUGGUAAGGUAACGGCUUACCAAGGCAACGAUGCAUAGCCGACCUGAGAGGGUGAUCGGCCACACUGGAACUGAGACACGGUCCAGACUCCUACGGGAGGCAGCAGUAGGGAAUCUUCCGCAAUGGGCGAAAGCCUGACGGAGCAACGCCGCGUGAGUGAUGAAGGUCUUCGGAUCGUAAAACUCUGUUAUUAGGGAAGAACAUAUGUGUAAGUAACUGUGCACAUCUUGACGGUACCUAAUCAGAAAGCCACGGCUAACUACGUG
rnacentral:rRNA from 1 species